rnacentral:rRNA from 1 species
UACGAAGGGGGCUAGCGUUGCUCGGAAUCACUGGGCGUAAAGGGUGCGUAGGCGGGUCUUUAAGUCAGGGGUGAAAUCCUGGAGCUCAACUCCAGAACUGCCUUUGAUACUGAAGAUCUUGAGUUCGGGAGAGGUGAGUGGAACUGCGAGUGUAGAGGUGAAAUUCGUAGAUAUUCGCAAGAACACCAGUGGCGAAGGCGGCUCACUGGACUGGUACUGACGCUGAGGCGCGAAAGCGUGGGGAGCAAACGGGG